rnacentral:lncRNA from 1 species
AUGUGUGUGUGUGUCUUGUGGGACAUAACUUAAUUUUCCUCUACUUUUUAAAUUACCCUCUUCUUUUUAAAGCUUCUGCAUAGAUAUAGCCUUGAGACUAAGGCUUUGGCAUAGGAAUUUUGUAAAAUACGGUUCAUCCAUAUAUGGGUAUUUUAUUUCUUUAAAGAUGAACAGAAAUGGGCUGCCGAGAUGGCUCAGCGGGUAAGAGCACUGACUGCUCUUCUGAAGGCCCUGAGUUCAAAUCCCAGUAACCACAUUGUGGCUCACAACCGUCUGAAGACAGCUACAUUGUACUUAUGUAUAAUAAUAAAUAAAUCUUUGUGCUGGAGCAAGCAGGGAAUGAGCAGAGCUGACUGGAGCGAGCAGAGGUCCUAAAAAUUCAAUUCCUAAUAACUACUUGAAGGCUCACAAUCAUCUGUGUACUCACAUAAAAUAAAUAAAUCUUUUAAAAAAAUGAACAGAAAUGAUCUUCUUUUACCCGAAUUUUUAGUCCCAGUCUUUCAGUCUCAAAGCGAAAUGCUUUUUGUAAUUCUGCUCCCACCCAGCAGUUUGGUGUUUCCAACCUGCAGGUGGGUUUUUGUUGUUUUUCAACAUGUACAACAGUUUCUGCCCAAUUCUUCCAUUUAGAGUUGAGUUUUGAUGGUUGGUUUACAUUUGAUUUCUUCUCUAACAUCUUCAGUUUUAUAGUGUGACCUCUUUGUCAGAAACCACUUUGAAAGUCAUGAUGCUUUCCAAAGCUACUUAAACAGAACAUGCGUUUAAGUGGCACCAUACUUUGACACAGGUGCUAGAGAGGGUCUUGGCAGUGUUUUUACAGAACGUCUUCAGGUGUCUGCCUUGCUGAGAUUGCUGGGCAUGGAAUCUGUGGUGUUUAUGUUGGAAAUGCUGACACGUGAGGACAGGGUGUUUCAUGUUAUUUUUACUCAGUGUACUUAGCCAGAUCAUAUAUCUGAAAACAAAAUUCCUUAAUAGGGCCCUGGUUUUCAAACUGAAGAGAAAGCCAGCAGUUGGACCCUUGAAUCUAAAGCCCUCAUAUAUAAAACACAAAAGCAUAACUCUGGCUCCCAUCCACUUUGUUAAUAAUUAGUGUAUACUUAUUGGUCCUAACCUAGUUAAUGGCUACUUGCCUGUUCUUCACGGCAACCGUGGAACAUCCUUUCUAUUUCUGAGGGACAGCAGUGUGUCUGGCAGCCUUUUUUUUUUUUUUUUUUUUCCCUUCAAACAAUGAGUCCAUAGGUGUUUGUGAGGUGAGAUAGCAGAUGCCAUUCUAGUUUCUUCUGUCAGGUUUUAGUAUGACCUCUUUUUGGUUCAAAGUGAAUUCCCCGAGCAGCUGAUGCGCCUUUAAUUAAUCCAUUCCCAAGUGCAGAAGUAUUCCUGUUUUACCUGCAAGGCACAUAGGGGUGUGUGAGUCCCUGAGAAUGAUUCAAAUGGCUUGGCAAAAAUACCCACUGUCCUUUCAUCCAAGCUGGCGUUUCUGGAUAUUUUUGUGUCCAUCCCUCUAACUCACCCUUUCAGCCAUAAAAGCUUAUUUAAAGAAUUCCUCUGUGAUCUCUGACGGGUAUUCAUUAUCCCCGUUAGAUCUAUCUUUCCAGGACAAAACAAGCAAGCAGGGACUGGAUCUAUCACAUCUUUGAGAGCACUUCUCUAGCCAAAGAAUCUUAGAGACAGUAUCUCCUUUGCAGAAAAGGCUUUUUUAAAAUUCUGCUCUGCAGCUGCCACUUUUGUGCCCGUGUUAAUGGGUUAUCCUAGUGUUGCAGAUGUUUCCUUAAACAAACAACAAACCAACCCUAUGUUUUCUGGCAUUAAAAUAUAUAUUCCAGGAAUGUUAUGCCAUUGAUCUCAGAGAACAAAAGUCCGCACCCAAAAAAGGGGUUAAAUGAGAAACUUCAGGGCAUGGUGGUGUAAGCAUUUAAUCCCUGUAGAUGCAAGCAGAUUUCUGUGGGUUCAGGGUCAGCCUGAUCUACUUAGCAAGUUCCCUAACAGCCAAGGUUCUAUACAGAGUUCCCACAACUCGCCAUACCCUCCAAAAGAAAGAAAAGAAAAGAAAAAAAAAACUUUAGCUCUUCGCAUAGCCU